AGGUGACUGAUGGAGGAGGUGGAGAAGGAGGUGACUGAUGGCGGAGGUGGAGAGGGAGGAUAAGAGGGAGGUGACUGAUGGAGGAGGUGGAGAGGGAGGAUAAGAGGGAGGUGACUGAUGGAGGAGGUGGAGAGGGAGGUGACUGAUGGAGGAGGUGGAGAUGGAGGUGACUGAUGGAGGAGGUGGAGAUGGAGGUGACUGAUGGAGGAGGUGGAGAGGGAGGAGAAGAGGGAGGUGACUGAUGGAGGAGGUGGAGAGGGAGGUGACUGAUGGAGGAGGUGGAGAGGGAGGUGACUGGAGGAGGAGAGGGAGGUGACUGAUGGAGGAGGUGGAGAGGGAGGUGACUGAUGGCGGAGGUGACUGAUGGAGGAGGAGAGAGGGAGGUGACUGAUGGAGGAGGUGGAGAGGGAGGUGACUGAUGGAGGAGGUGGAGAGGGAGGUGACUGAUGGAGGAGGUGGAGAGGGAGGUGACUGAUGGCAUAGGAGGAGAGAGGGAGGCUUUGAUUUAUUUUGAUUUAUAGAUGUUUAUUAUUUAUUUUUCUAUUUAAUUUUAAUAUUGCAGUGUGCUAAAAGG
ensembl:lncRNA